GACGAACGCUGGCGGCGUGCUUAACACAUGCAAGUCGAACGGAAAGGCCCUGCUUGCAGGGUACUCGAGUGGCGAACGGGUGAGUAACACGUGGGUGAUCUGCCCUGCACUUCGGGAUAAGCCUGGGAAACUGGGUCUAAUACCGGAUAGGAGCCAUUUUUAGUGUGAUGGUUGGAAAGUUUUUUCGGUGUAGGAUGAGCUCGCGGCCUAUCAGCUUGUUGGUGGGGUAAUGGCCUACCAAGGCGGCGACGGGUAGCCGGCCUGAGAGGGUGGACGGCCACAUUGGGACUGAGAUACGGCCCAGACUCCUACGGGAGGCAGCAGUGGGGAAGUUUGCACAAUGGGCGCAAGCCUGAUGCAGCGACGCCGCGUGGGGGAUGACGGCCUUCGGGUUGUGAACUCCUUUCGCUAGGGACGAAGCGUUUUGUGACGGUACCUAGAUAAGAAGCACCGGCUAACUACGUG
rnacentral:rRNA from 1 species